AACAACGCACUAUACUCGUGUAAUGUUAAAAAUCGAACUGCGCACGCUAGUAGAAUCGUAACCUCGGUCGCUAUUCACUUUCUUACCGGAUCCUGAAACAUUCGUAGGACUUAUAUUAAUAUAAUAAUCGCGAAAAGCGCGAAAAUUGAAACGACACAGGCGACGCUGACUACUGAAAAAAAAAACGAGCAAAGCGAGAACAAACAAUGGAAAGAGAGAGAGAAAGAGAGAGAGAGAGAGAGAGAGAGAGAAAAGGAGAAAGGAAAAGAAAUGAAAAAUCCGCGCUUUCCACUCUGCACCGCUAGUUUUCGUCGUCGAUUGAAACACCGUUUCCGCUAUAGGAGCUGGCAGGCACGAGGAAGCUUCGACGCGAGUUUAAGGCAAUCGGUUGCCGCGUGACGCGGAUCGGGGGAACGCUCGAAUCGGAUUCGAAGGUUCAGGUGUUCGGUGACGUGACCUUGAAGUGUUGCUCAGCCUGAUGGGCGUGCAGUAUGAAGGCCUUGAACGCAGCGAAAGGACACAACGGGCACUUGAACUGUGGCGGUUCGCACUUGUGCUUCAAAUAGUUGCUCCACAUCUUGUAGAACUUGCUGCACAUUGUGCACGUAUAGCCGAGAACCUGGUCGCCCAUGUACAUCUUCCGGUAGGCUGAAAACAGAGGGACCAAGUUAGAUCGAUAGGCGAGCAGUGAGUUGGCUUGAGGAGAGAAAACAGGGUAUCUGGCAUCCUCGAUCGAAUCGUGUCCGAUCUACACCGAGUUUGAGAGAGAGAGAGAGAGAGAGAGAAGAAAAAAAAGAAAAAAACACAUCUCGCAAUAUGCUCAAAAUGGCGAGGCCAGUUUGACUUCGAUCGAAUUAGACUCGACUCGAUUCGAUCGGUAGAAUUCGAGUUAUGGUGAUGGGCAAAUUCGUGGUUAGAGGAAACCAAAGGAGUUUUCAUCAACAUGUAUAACGCAUUCCUGCGGAAUCUGUUUAUUACAGAAAGAUGAGAAGUGAUCUCGUCACUCGGGCGCAAGCGUGGAUUUGUUAAGUUUUUUUUUUUUUUUUUUUUAAGAUAAUCACUCACUGCCACGUUAACGUAGGUGGUAGGGUUAAAGCGACUAGCCGCAACGAAUUAUUACGAGAUCGUUGCCUUCCUCUUCGUAUCCGCUCUAGAAUCCCUUCUUUUCGGGUCGUCGUUGAAUCCCUCCUCGCCUUUUUUUCCUCUAUACAUACAUAUAGCACCGCUGCAUCGGCGAAUUUAUCGCCAAUUUCACGCAUUUUCAAAAGGUAUAGAUAUAUGUAUAUAUAUAUAUACUCUUUGUAUAUAUACGAUAAAGCAUGCAUCGCUUUGUAUCGUUUCGAUCGCGAUCGAUUCGUGCUCGAUCCACCCGUUAAAAUAUCUGUAGCGAACAUCUUUAUGAAAUUUCGGUUACGAAAGAGUAGAUGUAAAGAGAAGAAAAAAAAAAAAAAAGUCGAAAUGAUCGUCUACAGCAUGAGAUUAGGCUCUACUCCAUUGACAAUAUCUAUCUUAUGAAUAGCGAUCAGAUGACGGUGCAGGCUCGUCUUCUGAGUGAAACUGUAGCUGCAGUAGUAGCAGGGAAACUGGCGUUUUCCUCCGCAUUCCCAUUUCAUGUGCCUCCUCAAGUUGCACCGCCUCGUGUAACCCCGGCCGCAUUGCUGGCAGGGGAAUCGAAAGCUCACGUAACCUGUCGAACGAAAA
rnacentral:lncRNA from 1 species